rnacentral:rRNA from 1 species
UACGGGGGGGGCAAGCGUUGUUCGGAAUUACUGGGCGUAAAGGGCUCGUAGGCGGCCAACUAAGUCCGACGUGAAAUCCCAAGGCUUAACCUUGGAACUGCGUCGGAUACUGGAUGGCUUGAAUUCGGGAGAGGGAUGCAGAAUUCCAGGUGUAGCGGUGAAAUGCGUAGAUAUCUGGAGGAAUACCGGUGGCGAAGGCAAUCCCCUGGGCCUGCACUGACGUUCAUGCACGAAAGCGUGGGGAGCAAACAGG